AAAUUAAUUUUUUUAAUUAAAGUUUUUUUUUUUAAUAAAAAUUUUAAACUUGUUUAUUUAUUUUUUAAUAAAAUUUUUUUAUUAAACUGUAAAGGAUAAAAAUUUUUAAAUAGAAGAUUAAUUUUUUUUUGUACCUUUUGUAUCAGGGUUAAUUAAAUUAAAAAAUUUAUAUUUUUUUCCCGAAUGGUUGAUAUUUACUUAAAUAUAAAUUUUAUUGUUGAAUAAAUAUUUAAAAUAUUUAAGUGGUUUUGAAAUUAAAUUCGUUCAAUUUUUUAUCUGGUUAUUUAAGAAUUUAAUUAAAUUAAUGAUUUCUUUUUGUUUUUUUAUUUAUUAAAUUCAUUUUGAUUUCAAAUUUUAUUGGGGAUAAGCUCUUUAAAUAUUUAUAAUUUUUUUUAAAAAUUAUUUAAAUAGGCUUAAAAUCUGUCAUUUUUAAAGUUCGUAAUAGAUUAAAUUUUUUUUAAAUUAAUUAUUUAUUUUUUUAUUAAAUUUAAAUAUAAAAUUAUUUAUUUUUUAAUAAUGAUUAAAUUAGUAAAUUUAUAUUUUAAUUAUAUGAAUUCGGCAAAUUUUAUUUUCGCCUGUUUAUCAAAAACAUGUCUUUUAGAAAAAUUUAAAAGUCUAACCUGCUCAAUGAAUUGUAAUUUUAAAUAGCCGCAGUAAAUUGACUGUGCAAAGGUAGCAUAAUAAUUAGUCUUUUAAUUGAGGUCUGGAAUGAAUGGUUAAACGAAAAAUAUACUUUAUUUAAUUAAUUUUUUUUGAAUUUGGUUUUUUAGUUAAAAAUCUAAAAUAUUAAAGAGUGACGAUAAGACCCUAUAGAUCUUUAUAAUUUUAAGUUUAUAUAUAUUUUUUGUUGUAUAUUUUAUUUAAAUUUAAAUUUUUUUUAUUGGGGUGAUAAUUAAAAUUUUAAACUUUAAUAUUUUAUAACAAUUAUUUUUGGUAAAAUGAUCCUUUUUUUUGAUUAUUAGAUAAAGAUACCUUAGGGAUAACAGCGUUAUAUAUUUGGAGAGUUCAUAUUAAUAAAUAUGUUUGCGACCUCGAUGUUGGAUUAAAAUUUGUUUGUGGGGUAGGUUUUACAAUUCUAGGUCUGUUCGACCUUUAAAAUUUUACAUGAUCUGAGUUCAGACCGGUGUAAACCAGGUUGGUUUCUAUCUUCUUUACUUUUUUUUUAAUUAGUACGAAAGGACUUUUAAAAUAUAAAAUUUAUU
rnacentral:rRNA from 1 species